UAACGUUAUUGAUUAAUUCUUCUUAUCUCUUCUUCCAGUUUACGCUUCUUUCCGGAGGAAACAGAUUUUGAACGCCAGGCAAACCCUGAAAUGAAGCUGGACUUGUUGACUGGUCCUUUUACAAUGCCGGCGUUCUGGGCGGGAUCAAUAACAGGCACAGCAAAAAGCUCAAAGUUGCAGCUGGCCAGUUUACAAUUCAAAUCUCCACACCCUCAAUGUAACUUUUUUUGGCUUUUUUCUCCUGUGGACAACUUGCCACUACCUUGCGUUACCAAAAAGAAAAGGCAAUUUCCCGCCGUUGUGCUGACCAAAACCGGACAAUUUUCGGUGCUUCCAAAAAAGCUUGAUACACCACCGGAAUAUUCCUGUUGGAGCAACACACAUCACAUAUAACAACACAUUACUCAACAAACCACUGUUACAAACUACUUACACAAUAAAAAAAACGCAACACACAAAUUAAAUUUUUCCACUUCUUCACUGCUCUCUAGCUAAGUUUCACCGCUCACCCCGGAGUAGUAGUAGGUUCCCACCUACUCAGCAAUCAUAGGGCUGCCUAGUCACUUCUUAGCCUGAGUCACCCUGUCAUUCACUACCUUUAUAAUACUCUUUAACUCAACCCUGUUCGAGCCUAAUUUCGUACGUAGCGAACCCUAUCAAACCAUUUCCGGCAUUUUGAUCCCAUCGCCACCCAGACUACACACCCCGCAGAAAUUACAAGCAAAUUGAAAUCUCGAAGCAUCCUCACCAUCCUCACUAAAAACCCAAGAAAACUGAGCAAAUCCAUUUGAGGACCAAUUAUGGGAUGCACUACCAACAGAAUUGGGAUAAUUUCUGCGGUGGUUGUGGACAGGUUUUGCCAAAAAACCCGGCCCCAUAUAUUUGUUGCCUUUUUGCGCCGAAUGUGAACGGCCUGCAACAAAUUUUUA